CGACUUAUAUUCUGUAGCAAGGUUAACCGAAUAGGGGAGCCGUAGGGAAACCGAGUCCGAAUAGGGCGAAUCAGUCGCUAGGAAUAGACCCGAAGCCGGUCGAUCUAUCCAUGGCCAGGAUGAAGGUGAGGUAAUACUCACUGGAGGUCCGAACGAACCACUGUUGCAAUAGUGUGUCGAUGAGCUGUGGAUAGGAGUGAAAGGCUAAUCAAGGCCGGCGAUAGCUGGUUCUCCCCGAAAGCUAUUUAGGUAGUGCCUCAUCGAGCACUCCUGGGGGUAGAGCACUGUUUAGGCUAGCGGGCCAUCCCGGCUUAGCAAACCUAUGCAAACUCCGAAUACCAGGAAGUGAACCGGUGGGAGACACACAGCGGGUGCUAACGUCCGUUGUGAAGAGGGAAAUAACCCAGACCGCCAGCUAAGGCCCCAAAUUCAUGGCUAAGUGGUGAACGAUGUGGGAAGGCAUAGACAGCCAGGAGGUUGGCUUAGAAGCAG
rnacentral:rRNA from 1 species